GAUGAACGCUGGCGGCGUGCUUAACACAUGCAAGUCGAACGGAGUUCCUUGGAUAGAGGUUUCGGCCAAUUGAAUUGGAACUUAGUGGCGGACGGGUGAGUAACGCGUGAGGAACCUGCCUUGGAGUGGGGAAUAACACAGUGAAAAUUGUGCUAAUACCGCAUAAUGCAGUUGAGUCGCAUGGCUCUGACUGCCAAAGNUUUAUCGCUCUAAGAUGGCCCUCGCGUCUGAUUAGCUAGUUGGUAGGGUAACGGCCUACCAAGGCGACGAUCAGUAGCCGGACUGAGAGGUUGGCCGGCCACAUUGGGACUGAGACACGGCCCAGACUCCUACGGGAGGCAGCAGUGGGGAAUAUUGGGCAAUGGGCGCAAGCCUGACCCAGCAACGCCGCGUGAAGGAAGAAGGCUUUCGGGUUGUAAACUUCUUUGUCAGGGACGAAUAAAUGACGGUACCUGACGAAUAAGCCACGGCUAACUACGUG
rnacentral:rRNA from 1 species